rnacentral:lncRNA from 1 species
GUGAGGGGGAUGAGCGGUGGAGGGCGGACUCCAAGGCGACGAUGCAGCGAAGCAGGGAGGAAAUGGUGGGGCCUGGUUGUUGAGUGUAGUUUUCGUGGAAGUUUUGGGAGGUGUUGAGGUAGAUUUGAGGGGGGCAUAUGUGGGGACCGGAGGCAGCGGGGUAACGGGGUUAGUAGUGGUGGUUGCAAGGGGGAUACAUAUCGGAAUUUUUUUUUUUUUUUUAUUCCACGUAUACUUCCAACAUGGCAAUUGACCAGAACACAUCAAUUAUCGGUUGUCGGAUUAUUUUUGCGGGCCAUAAACAAGAAAAAAAAUGCAACGAUGGGUAUUGUUUUGUAAUUACUCUUAUGGUGGAAUAUUUUUUAGAAAACGCUUAAAUGAUGGGCCAAAAAGUGAU